rnacentral:rRNA from 1 species
GUGCCAGCAGCCGCGGUAAUACGAAGGGGGCGAGCGUUGUUCGGAUUUACUGGGCGUAAAGGGCGCGUAGGCGGCGGGUCAAGUCGAGUGUGAAAGCCCCGGGCUCAACCUGGGAGGUGCGCUCGAGACUGGUCUGCUUGAGUUCGGGAGAGGAGCGUGGAAUUCCCAGUGUAGAGGUGAAAUUCGUAGAUAUUGGGAAGAACACCGGUGGCGAAGGCGGCGCUCUGGACCGAGACUGACGCUGAGGCGCGAAAGCGUGGGGAGCAAACAGGAUUAGAUACCCUGGUAGUCCACGCUGUAAACGAUGUGUGCUAGACGUUGGGGGGCGCAGCCCUCCGGUGUCGCAGCCAACGCGGUAAGCACACCGCCUGGGGAGUACGGCCGCAAGGUUAAA